rnacentral:rRNA from 1 species
AGACAUGUAACUGCAAACCUCUGGAAACAGAGGAAUUCCUUCGAGGGUGUUACACAGCUGCUGCAUUGGUUGUCGUCAGUUCGUGUCGUGGGGCGUCGGCUUAAGUGCCGUAACGAACGCAACCCUGUGCUAUGUUAAAUAUCCAUAGCAGACUGCCUUGGAUUUUUCCAAGGGGGAAGGAGGGGAUGACGUCAAAUCAGCAUGGCGCUUAUAUCUAGGGCUACACACAUGGCGUAAUGGGUGGGACAACGGGAUGCCAAGGCGCGAGCCGGAGCUAAUCCUUAUAAACCCAUCCUCAGUUUGGAUUGCAGGCUGCAAUUCGCCUGCAUGAAAGGGAGUUGAUAGUAAUCGCGGAUCAGCAACACCGCGGUGAAUACGUUCUCGUUUCUU